rnacentral:rRNA from 1 species
GGCCGAACCAGCAACUUGAAAGAACGAAAAAUUGAAGUCACGAUCAAUUGCCGUACUAAAAGAGUAGGGGGCAUUUUGCGAAUAGUUCAAAGUAAAUUUUGAUAAUGACAUUAUUUACUUUCAGGUCUUGACCAACUCAUGUGCCAGCAGUCGCGGCAAGACAUGGAAGGCUAGCGUUAUUCAUCUUUAUUAGGUUUAAAGGGUACCUAGACAGUGAAUAUUAGCUUUUAUACAAUAAUAGUACUUUAUUUACUAGAGUUUAAUGUAAGGAAAUUCAGAACGGUGAGUGUAGGGUUAAAAUCCUCUGAUACCACUUAGAAACUGGUUUAGGUGAAAACAGGUUCUUAUGUAAAAACUGACGUUGAGGGACGAAGGCUCAAAAACAGAAAUGGGAAUAGCCACCCCAGUACUAAGAGCAGACAAUGAUGAAUGUCAUGUGUAAGUAUAUUAUUUAUACAUAAAUAAAAGUGUAAACAUUCCACCUCAAGAGUAAUAUGGCAACAUAUAAACUGAAAUCACUAGACCGUUUCUAGAACUCGUAGUGAAGUAUGUUAUUUAAUUUGAUGAUCCACAAAGGACCUUACCACAAUGUGUAUAGUAGUACAUAGGUAUUACGGACAAGUGUUGCACGGCUGUCUACAGUUGAUAUCGCGAGAGUUGAUUAAGUUCAGUAAUCAACGUAAUCCCUGACUUUAUUUAAAUUAAAGUAUAUAUUUUUGGUGCAAGAACCCUUACCGAAUUUAUUAUAUGGGAACAUGACAAGUCCUCAUGACCAAAAAUAAAAAUUGAUAGUAUUGUGGGCAAUAGACGUGCCACAUUUCGCCUUUACAAAAAGAUGCAAAAUUGAAAAAUUAAGCUAAUC